rnacentral:misc_RNA from 1 species
UCUCCGUAGGUGAACCUGCGGAAGGAUCAUUAACACAUUUACAAAUGAUUAAUUUUUUGUUUUUAUUUUUUAUUAAUUUAAUUUUUAAUAAAAAACUAAAAAUAAAAGAAAAACUAAAAAAACUAAAAAAAAAAAAAAAAAAAUAUGAUGAAAGUAAAAAGACUAAUGUUUUUUUUAUUUCUCUCUGUGAACUUUGUUUACUUUUUUUAUAUUUAAAACUAAAAAAUAUAGUAAUUACAAACAUUUUUUAUUUUUUCUUAUAAAUCUUUUUUAUAAUGAAAAAUGAUAAAAUUGUUUACUAACAAAACACAAAUAUUAUUUAUUUGAUUUGAUAUAUAUAUAUAUAUCAAAUUUAUAAAUAAAACAAACAAAAAAUAGUUAAGAACAACUCUUAGCAAUGGAUAUCUUGGUUCUC